UCCUGGUACCAGGAAAAAAACAAACAAACAAACAAACAAAAAGUAAAAUAAGAUCUUUGUAAAAAUUGUAGGUUGAAAGAAAAGGAAAAUGAAAUGAAGACAGUAGAAGCCAUGCCAAAAGAGAGGGAGAGUGAUCGUCCUAGCAAGCUAUUACAGAUUCUGGUUUAGAAUUUCAGAAAUGGAGAGAUAACUGGGCUCCUGAAUGAAUUAGAUUCUUUGAAGAAUGCAGUUGACUAUCAGAGGAAGAAAAAUAAGGUAAGCAAAUCUUCACAAGAAUGAAACUUUGCUUUUUAUUGCUUCAGCUUAGGAAGACAGUUCA
rnacentral:lncRNA from 1 species